rnacentral:rRNA from 1 species
GACGAACGCUGGCGGCGUGCUUAACACAUGCAAGUCGAACGGAAAGGCCCCUUUGGGGGUCCUCGAGUGGCGAACGGGUGCGUAACACGUGAGUAACCUUCCCUUGACUUCGGGAUAACUUCAGGAAACUGGGGCUAAUACCGGAUAGGAAUCCUUGCUGCAUGGUGGGGGUUGGAAAGCUUCGGCGGUUUUGGAUGGACUCGCGGCUUAUCAGCUUGUUGGUGGGGUAGUGGCUUACCAAGGCUUUGACGGGUAGCCGGCCUGCGAGGGCGACCGGCCACAGUGGGACUGAGAGACGGCCCAGACGGCGACGGGAGGCAGCAGGGGGGAAUAUUGAACAAUGGGCGGCAGCCUGAUGCAGCAACGCCGCGGGCGGGAUGACGGUCUUCGGGUUGUAAACCGGUUUCAGCAGGGGCGAAGCUUGUGGUGACGGUACCUGCAGAAGAAGCACCGGCUAACUACGUG